AGAAAGAGAGAGCUAAGAGGAGUGGCAGAUGACGAGAGGAGGGAGUAAGAGAGAGGAAAUAGGAGAGGGAGGCUCGGCAGCGGACGGGACAGGGUCGUCGGCCGGUGUCGGCCUGCGCCGGUGAGGUCGCUCGCCCAGCUGCCAAGGAGGGAAAGGCGACGGGGACCGGCAUCUGGGGCAGCGGUGGCGGUGGGACUGCAGGAACUGGCCGAGGUGGUCCUCGCCAAACAAGCGGGCGGCAGCAAGAUUUCUUCAUUGGUUGAUUUGAUUUGGGGCUGAUUUUCCCCUGGAUUCCUUCCUCUUACAGUUCCUUUCCAACUUGUUGUUCAUGGCUUGCUUCCCAACCACAGGUGCUCCCCACGGCGAGGAAUGGACGCGCUCAACGCCUUCCUUCCCAACCAGAUAUGAGAAAGAAGAAAUAGGACCAAGAAAAUUAUUUUCUCAUAUAUUCAUGUGUCGUGCGGAGAAGAACCCGAAUGGAGAACUUGGUAUGCCGAGUAAUGUGCAGGUUGCUUUUGUCCUCUCAUCUGCUGUUUGGUCUUCGUCUAUUGCUCUGCUGGCUCGUCAUCUCCUCGGUUGGAGGUUGUUCUUGGUCCCGCCAUUUGUUCUUGUUAGAGCUCACUAAAAAUAUUUGUUCUCGCCUAUGCUAAUGCCUUUCGGUUAAACUAGGAAUUAUUUCAUUGUUGGAAGCUUUCAUCUGCGUAUAUGCGUAAGGGGCUGUGUAUUUAUUUUGUUUCAUUCAUUUUUUGGUCUAUUUAUUUUGCACAGAAAACCAUUUGUGGUAUGCUUUGAUGGGCCUUAUUUAAUACAGUACAGACAAAAUUGGAAGUAGUAGCAAACCAGCCAUGAAAAUUUUGAGAGAACUAUGCUAAUCACAAGCAAUGAUGUGCUCCUGUCAUUUUUCCAUGAUAUUGUAGCCCACUUCCAAGACUCUAUGUACUAAUGUUAACUACUUGCUUCUUUAGCUGCUCUAAUCAGGAACCAAUUCUCUGUGUGGUUUAUCCUCUUAAAAUUGUUACUAUUCACUUAGAGGGGGAGUGUAAGCAGUAGCUGAUUUUAGAGAACACUACACACCAGAGCAGGAAGCCUAAGUCAGGAAGGAGAAUGCAUGUACCCUUGAGGACUGAAGAAUGAUGUUUAAUCUUGCUUUUGUCUACGCUGCUAUUCUUGGUUCAGAUCCUUACCUUUGGUUCAGUUCAAUGUAGUCUUAUGGAUAGAUGGACAAGUUGGUGAAACUGAAAACUACCGGAUGGGUUAGUUAAUCGGUUAAUUAAUCAUUGCUGCCCCUAAUUUCGUUUCAGCUUCAUCAACACCUUACAUUUGCUUGGUAGAAAUUUAAACUGAACACCAACUUCAUUUAUGUUAUACUCGGGUGAUGGAUUCCUUCAGAUAUACAAAUUCCUUGAGCAAAGUUUACAAUGCUUUUGUGCCACUUAUGAUAUGCUUCACAAUUGUUUUGUCUUUCCUUGUGGAUCAUCCAUUUGAACUAUAUACAUUAAUGUAAAUAACCUUACAUUUCCUUCUCUUUCAAUCGAUUUAAGGUACUCAUAUAUAAUGAUUACUAAUGACCAGCUGCAGCCACCGCCUAAUCUAACAUUGUUGUACUCAUGGCUUUUGGCAUCUGUGUAUUCCAUUUAGUUACCUUUGCCUAAUGCGUCAAGAUGAGAGGCAUUCUUGCUGCCCUGUACACAGCUUUGCGUUUUAUGGAGUAUGAUUGUUACUAUUUCUCCCUGCGUUCUCUCCUUUGCAUUGGCUGACUAUUACAUGAUUAAUAGAUGAACACUCCUAUAUCCGCAAUGAAAGGCAAGGGACAAGCUCCUGUGACUAAAUACCUAGCAAAUCACCGUGCCCUAGGAACUCUCAUCACAAGCUCUUCACUUCGCCUUCCAAAACCAAGGGAACUACAUCAUAUGCGGCUGUGCCUAAAGAUCCUACCCAAACUGGAGAAAUUGCUUCUACUGGAGAUGUUGUUGACCCUGCUUCCAAAACAAAAUGUUAGUAUCCAUAUUCAAUUGCCCUUCAGUCUAUAUGUCCUAACCAACAACAGCCACCUUUUGUUUUUAUCAAUCGAUCCAGUAUCUUUGCUCUUUUGGCGUUGCUCUGAGCAAGAUACUGCAUGUACACUUCAGACCUCAUUACUGUCUCUAUGGUCAAAACAAGUUUGUGAUCACUUGUUCUAUAUACGUAAUCAACUGCCCUUCUACUAAUAUUUUCAGAAGACUACUUAUAUAUGUUUACACUGGUUAGAGAAAAUCAUGACAUUGCCAGCAACAAUUU